rnacentral:rRNA from 1 species
ACGGGAGGCAGCAGUGGGGAAUUUUCCGCAAUGGGCGAAAGCCUGACGGAGCAAUGCCGCGUGAGUGAAGAAGGCCUUCGGGUUGUAAAGCUCUGUCUUUAGGGACGAAGAAGUGACGGUACCUAAGGAGGAAGCCACGGCUAACUACGUGCCAGCAGCCGCGGUAAUACGUAGGUGGCAAGCGUUGUCCGGAAUGACUGGGCGUAAAGGGCGCGCAGGUGGACUAAUCAGUCGGAUGUGAAAACCCGGAGCUUAACUCCGGAACUGCAUCCGAUACGGUUAGUCUUGAGUACAGGAGAGGGUAGUGGAAUUCCCAGUGUAGCGGUGAAAUGCGUAGAGAUUGGGAGGAACACCAGUGGCGAAGGCGGCUACCUGGACUGUAACUGACACUGAGGCGCGAAAGCGUGGGGAGCAAACAGGAUUAGAUACCCUGGUA